rnacentral:rRNA from 1 species
GACGAACGCUGGCGGCGUGCCUAACACAUGCAAGUCGAGCGGGGAUAUACGGAAGGUUUACCGGAAGUAUAUCCUAGCGGCGGACGGGUGAGUAACACGUGGGUAACCUGCCUCAAAGUGGGGGAUAGCCUUCCGAAAGGAAGAUUAAUACCGCAUAAUAUGAGAGAAUCGCAUGAUUUUCUUAUCAAAGAUUUAUUGCUUUGAGAUGGACCCGCGGCGCAUUAGCUAGUUGGUAAGGUAAUGGCUUACCAAGGCAACGAUGCGUAGCCGACCUGAGAGGGUGAUCGGCCACAUUGGAACUGAGACACGGUCCAGACUCCUACGGGAGGCAGCAGUGGGGAAUAUUGCGCAAUGGAGGAAACCCUGACGCAGCAACGCCGCGUGGGUGAUGAAGGUCUUCGGAUUGUAAAGCCCUGUUUUCUGGGACGAUAAUGACGGUACCAGAGGAGGAAGCCACGGCUAACUACGUGC